AUACUUACCUGGCAGGGAAGAUACUGUGAUCAUGAAGGUGGUUUUCCCAGGGUGAGGCUUAUUCAUUGCACUUCAGAUGUGCUGACCCCUGUGAUGUCCCCAAGUGUGGGAAACUCAACUGCAUCAUUUGUGGGAGUGGGGGACUGGGUUCGUGCUUAAA
rfam:Felis catus isolate Cinnamon breed Abyssinian chromosome X, whole genome shotgun sequence.